rnacentral:rRNA from 1 species
AACGUACCCAGUAGUGGGGGAUAGCUCGGCGAAAGCCGGAUUAAUACCGCAUACGACCUACGGGUGAAAGCGGGGGAUCGCAAGACCUCGCGCUAUUGGAGCGGCCGAUGUCGGAUUAGCUAGUUGGUGAGGUAAAGGCUCACCAAGGCUACGAUCCGUAGCUGGUCUGAGAGGACGACCAGCCACACUGGGACUGAGACACGGCCCAGACUCCUACGGGAGGCAGCAGUGGGGAAUUUUGGACAAUGGGCGAAAGCCUGAUCCAGCCAUGCCGCGUGUGU